AACGAUGCGGCUUCGUGGUUAAGACAUGCAAGUCGCACGGAUACGUUAGCAAUACGUUUAGUGGGCGAACGGUGUGAGUAGUAAUGAAUCGCUAAUGUACCCCGGACUCCGGGAAUAGCUGCCCGAAUCAGGGCCAGGGUAAUACCAGGAUGACAUGUAUCCCGCACGGCAUAGUGUGGUUUCUCAAAGGUCCGCCGGUCUGGGCGCAGGCGAUUUCGUAUCAGCUAGUUUGGUGUAUGGUAACGGCUCACUCAAGGCGACGACGCGUAGCCGGACUGAGAGGAUGUGGCCGGACCACACCCGGACUGAGACAUCAUGCCCUGGACUCCUACUGGGGGCUGCAGUAACGAAUCUUCCCCAAUGCACGAAAGUGUGAGGGAGCGACGCCGCGUGUGGGACGAAGUCCUUCGGGAUGUAAACCACUGUCAGGGGAUACCAAGUUCUGAGGAUCCCCAGAGGAAGAGGCGGCUAACUCUGUGCCAUGCGGCCGCGGUAAGACAGAGGCCUCAAGCGUUAGGCGGAAUCACUGGGCUUAAAGCGUGUGUAGGCGGAUCGUUAAGUGUCUUGUGAAAUCCCACGGCUCACCCGUGGGAACUGCGGGCAUACUGGCGAUCUCUUGGGCCAACUAAGGGCAACUGGAACAAGCGGGGUAAGGGAGCGGUGAUGAAAUGCGUAGAUAUCGCUUGGAACGCCAACGGUGAAUAAAACAGGUUGCUUGGGGUUUGUGCCGACGCUGAGACACGAAAGCCAGGGGAGCAAACGGGAUUAGAUACCCCGGUAGUCCUGGCCCUAAACGAUUGUCCACUAGAUUUGCAGCGGGUUUGACCCCGUCGCUGGUCGAAGCAAAAGUGUUAAGUGGAACCGCCUGGGAAGUACGGUCGCAGGCUAAAACUCAAAGGAAUUGACGGGGGCAUCACACAAGCGGUUGGAGCUAUGUGGUUCAAUUCGAUAAGCAACGCGCAGAACCUUACCUGGGUUUGACAUGACUGGAUUAUCCCGAUGAAAGUCGGGUAGGCCCGCAAGGGGUACAACAGUUACAGGUGCUGCAUGGCUGUCGUCAGCUCGUGUCGUGAGAUGUCGGGUUAAGUCCUCUUAACGAGGCGAUAACCUUUACCCUUAGUUACCAGCGGGUUAUGCCGGGGACUCUAAGGGGACCGCCGGUGUCAAACCGGAGGAAGGUGGAGAUGACGUCAAGUCCUCAUGGCUCUUUAUGCCCAGGGCCACACACGUGCUACAAUGGCGUUCAUAAAGCGACCCUAAAGCGCGAGCUCAUGGAAAUCGCAAAAUAACGCCCAUUCAGAUCGAGGGAGGUCUGCAACUCGCCUACCGUGAAGUUGGAAUCGCUAGUAAUCGCGGAUCAGCCACGCCGCGGUGAAUGUGUUCCUGAGCCUUGUACACACCGCCCCGUCAAAGUCAUGGGAGCCGGGAAUGGCCGAAGUCGUCCUCGCUUUCAGGGGGUGCCUACGCCCAGGCUCGGUGACUGGGACU
rnacentral:rRNA from 1 species